rnacentral:tRNA from 1 species
GCUCUUGUAGUCUAGUGGUCAAGGACAGCGCCCUCUCGCGGCGCAAACCCGGGUUCAAAUCCCGGCAGGAGCA